rnacentral:rRNA from 1 species
UGAGUAACAGUGGGUAACCCGCCCAGAAGUGGGGGAUAACACCUGGAAACAGAUGCUAAUACCGCAUAACAAAAUUAACCGCAUGGUUGAUUUUUAAAAGAUGGCUUCGGCUAUCACUUCUGGAUGGACCCGCGGCGUAUUAGCUAGUUGGUGAGAUAAAGGCUCACCAAGGCAGUGAUACGUAGCCGACCUGAGAGGGUAAUCGGCCACAUUGGGACUGAGACACGGCCCAGACUCCUACGGGAGGCAGCAGUAGGGAAUCUUCCACAAUGGACGCAAGUUUGAUGGAGCAACGCCGCGUGAGUGAUGAAGGCUUUCGGGUCGUAAAACUCUGUUGUUGGAGAAGAACGUGUGUGAGAGUAACUGCUCAUGCAGUGACGGUAUCCAACCAGAAAGCCACGGCUAACUACGUGCCAGCAGCCGCGGUAAUACGUAGGUGGCAAGCGUUAUCCGGAUUUAUUGGGCGUAAAGCGAGCGCAGGCGGUCUUUUAAGUCUAAUGUGAAAGCCUUCGGCUUAACCGAAGAAGUGCAUUGGAAACUGGGAGACUUGAGUGCAGAAGAGGAGAGUGGAACUCCAUGUGUAGCGGUGAAAUGCGUAGAUAUAUGGAAGAACACCAGUGGCGAACGCGGCUCUCUGGUCUGCAACUGACGCUGAGGCUCGAAAGCAUGGGUAGCGAACAGGAUUAGAUACCCUGGUAGUCCAU